AGAAGCGUCAGCAUUCGCGCAGCAAGAAACACACUCUGGCGUAGGCCGAUAGAGCAUAGACCUGGCUUUGUUCAAGAAGGAGAAUACUCCACUGAAGUCUUUCUCGUACCACUCUUCAAGGUCGUCACGCGGAUAGUGGCCCUGCCGCUCCACAUGCCGCUUCUGGUGCUGGGCCCGCA